rnacentral:SRP_RNA from 1 species
UGUCGGUCCCCUCGCGACAUGACGUUGUGAACCCCGUCAGGCCCGGAAGGGAGCAGCGGCAGCAGCGGUAUUGGGCGCCGGGGUGCGGCUGAUACGG